rnacentral:rRNA from 1 species
AUUUCUGCUACGUUCUCCAACACGGAUCCCAUCAGAACUCCGAAGUUAAGCGUGCUUGGGCGAGAGUAGUACUAGGAUGGGUGACCUCCUGGGAAGUCCNNNN